rnacentral:rRNA from 1 species
UACGAAGGGGGCUAGCGUUGCUCGGAAUCCCUUGGCGUAAAGCGCACGUCGGCGGCUUCUUAAGUCAGGGGUGAAAUCCUGGAGCUCAACUCCAGAACUGCCUUUGAUACUGAGAAGCUUGAGUCCGGGAGAGGUGAGUGGAACUGCGAGUGUAGAGGUGAAAUUCGUAGAUAUUCGCAAGAACACCAGUGGCGAAGGCGGCCGACUGGUCCGGUUCUGACGCUGAGGCGCGAAAGCGUGGGGAGCAAACAGG